GACGAACGCUGGCGGCGUGCUUAACACAUGCAAGUCGAACGGUGAAGUAGAGCUUGCUCUAUGGAUCAGUGGCGAACGGGUGAGUAACACGUGGGCAACCUGCCCCAGACUCUGGGAUAACUCCUCGAAAGAGGGGCUAAUACCGGAUAUUUGCAUUGCAAGACAUCUUGUGAUGCAGAAAGAAUUUCGGUCUGGGAUGGGCCCGCGGCCUAUCAGCUUGUUGGUGAGGUAACGGCUCACCAAGGCGACGACGGGUAGCCGGCCUGAGAGGGGGACCGGCCACACUGGGACUGAGACACGGCCCAGACUCCUACGGGAGGCAGCAGUGGGGAAUAUUGGGCAAUGGGCGCAAGCCUGACCCAGCAACGCCGCGUGAGGGAUGAAGGUCCUCGGAUUGUAAACCUCUUUCAGCAGGGACGAAGCGAAAGUGACGGUACCUGCAGAAGAAGCACCGGCUAACUACGUGCCAGCCGCCGCCGUAA
rnacentral:rRNA from 1 species